rnacentral:lncRNA from 1 species
CUUUUCUGCUUCGCUCCCAACUAAGAAUGCAGAGUCAGGGAGAUGGCGCAGAGACAAUGCUGCUGUCCAUUGAAGCCCUCCAAAGGUCGGAGAUUCGAUCACAGGACAGCCUGGCCUGGACCAAGUCAGGUUGAUAUGGCUAGGCGGCCUGCUGGCGAGAUAGUGGGAGUGGGCGGUCCGCCCCUCAGGACCUCUGACUUGGACAGAUGACUGGAUGACUCUCUGGGGCAGCAUUCACCGGAACUCAUAUGGAGGGGACUGCCUGAGAAACCAACCUGUGUGCCUGGGUCAGGUUGAUAUGGCUAGGCGGCCUGCUGGCGAGAUAGUGGGAGUGGGCGGCCCGCCCCUCAGGACCUCUGACCUGGACAGAUGACUGGAUGACUCUCUGGGGCAGCAUUCACCGGAACUCAUAUGGAGAGGACUGCCUGAGAAACCAACCUGUGUGCCUGGGUCAGGUUGAUAUGGCUAGGCGGCCUGCUGGCGAGAUAGUGGGAGUGGGCGGUCCGCCCCUCAGGACCUCUGAUUUGGACAGAUGACUGGAUGACUCUCUGGGGCAGCAUUCACCGGAACUCAUAUGGAGGGGACUGCCUGAGAAACCAACCUGUGUGCCUGGGUCAGGUUGAUAUGGCUAGGCGGCCUGCUGGCGAGAUAGUGGGAGUGGGCGGUCCGCCCCUCAGGACCUCUGACUUGGACAGAUGACUGGAUGACUCUCUGGGGCAGCAUUCACCGGAACUCAUAUGGAGGGGGCUGCCUGAGAAACCAACCUGUGUGCCUGGGUCAGGUUGAUAUGGCUAGGCGGCCUGCUGGCGAGAUAGUGGGAGUGGGCGGUCCGCCCCUCAGGACCUCUGACUUGGACAGAUGACUGGAUGACUCUCUGGGGCAGCAUUCACCGGAACUCAUAUGGAGGGGGCUGCCUGAGAAACCAACCUGUGUGCCUGGGUCAGGUUGAUAUGGCUAGGCGGCCUGCUGGCGAGAUAGUGGGAGUGGGCGGUCCGCCCCUCAGGACCUCUGACUUGGACAGAUGACUGGAUGACUCUCUGGGGCAGCAUUCACCGGAACUCAUAUGGAGGGGGCUGCCUGAGAAACCAACCUGUGUGCCUGGGUGGUCAGGUUGAUAUGGCUAGGCGGCCUGCUGGCGAGAUAGUGGGAGUGGGCGGUCCGCCCCUCAGGACCUCUGACUUGGACAGAUGACUGGAUGACUCUCUGGGGCAGCAUUCACCGGAACUCAUAUGGAGGGGGCUGCCUGAGAAACCAACCUGUGUGCCUGGCCCACCACCUACCAGAGGUAUUGGAAAAGAACGGAUACGGAGGAAGUGGACCCAUUUAGAGGUGAUUAUUUGGAGCAAAUCCCAUCUGCUUUGUCAGUUAUUGAGCAGUUCCGUUCAUAGGCUGGCAAUGGCAGCUUGAUCCACUCUCAAAGUCUUCAUGGAUACACCAGCAGUCCGUUCAGUAAAGUCCAGAUAGCAGCAGUUGCACGACCUAGCAGGAACAACCAGGCCUCAGCUGAAGACAGUAGUCUACAGGAGGCAUUGGACUAGCAUGAAUGUCAGGAGAAACUUACAGCUGUGCCUCUCUUAAGGAAGUGAAGAUCAGUGAAGACAGGAGACCAAAAGGCGUUUAGCUGUGCAAGCAAGCCAAGCCCUUCUCCCAGUCCCUCCAAACAUCACUAGUCCUCCACAGGACUUGUCUCACCAUGUGUUGCCUCAGCAAAACUCACCUUUACAAACACAGCUUUGAAGGCCAGUUUUUUGAGUUAAUAAUGUAAACAAAUGUUAUUCUACGACAAACGUAGAAUUCAAGAGAAAAAUGGAGUAAUGAGUAAACCAGACAUUAAAAAAGAUUCUAUAAAUGAUCGAAUUACCUUUAGGCUACUGCAGCUUAGGUAUAAUGUAAGGGGAGUAAUAAUCUACAAAUAAGCAAAUGAGCCAAGAUGACCAAGAUGGAAAUGGUUUGAUUAGGAAUUUGAUUAGGGAAGUUCUGCCAAGGCAGGGAUAGUUGGGGUGGACACCUUUAGUCCCAGCACUGGGGCUUUAUGCAUGCUAAGGACGAGCUCUAUUGCUGGGCCCCACGCUCUAGAGUCAAUGCUCUAAAAUACUGCACAAACUAAUUCUCAGACAUUAACUGCAGGAAGAAUGCUCUAAUCCUAGAUGAGUGUUUUCAAAACAAAACUUAGCAGCGAAGACCAAAAAAUACAGAAAAAGCACCCAAAACAGACGAAAUGCCAGUUCAUCAGGAAGCCAAAACUUGACAGAAAUAUCUCUCAAAUAACAUUUAAUCUCUCUCCCUUUGUUCUAAUCCUGUCCCCACCCAGCAACCACCUGAUGUGUAAUUUGGUUUUCUAAGUGACCAUAGCCAUCGGUCAGAGACACUAAGCUGGGCCCAAAU